UACGAAGGGGGCUAGCGUUGCUCGGAAUCAUUGGGCGUAAAGAGCGCGCAGGCGGCUUGGCAAGUCGGGUGUGAAAUCCCGGGGCUCAACCCCGUGACUGCAUCCGAUACUGUCAGGCUAGAGGUAGGUAGGGGAGAUCGGAAUUCCUGGUGUAGCGGUGAAAUGCGCAGAUAUCAGGAGGAACACCGGUGGCGAAGGCGGAUCUCUGGGCCUUACCUGACGCUCAGGCGCGAAAGCGUGGGGAGCGAACAGG
rnacentral:rRNA from 1 species